AUUGAACGCUGGCGGCAGGCCUAACACAUGCAAGUCGAACGGUAGCACAGAGAGCUUGCUCUUGGGUGACGAGUGGCGGACGGGUGAGUAAUGUCUGGGAAACUGCCCGAUGGAGGGGGAUAACUACUGGAAACGGUAGCUAAUACCGCAUAACGUCGCAAGACCAAAGUGGGGGACCUUCGGGCCUCACACCAUCGGAUGUGCCCAGAUGGGAUUAGCUAGUAGGUGGGGUAAUGGCUCACCUAGGCGACGAUCCCCAGCUGGUCUGAGAGGAUGACCAGCCACACUGGAACUGAGACACGGUCCAGACUCCUACGGGAGGCAGCAGUGGGGAAUAUUGCACAAUGGGCGCAAGCCUGAUGCAGCCAUGCCGCGUUGAUGAAGAAGGCCUUCGGGUUGUAAAGUACUUUCAGCGAGGAGGAAGGCAUUAAGGUUAAUAACCUUGGUGAUUGACGUUACUCGCAGAAGAAGCACCGGCUAACUCCGUGCCAGCCGCCGCCGUAACAC
rnacentral:rRNA from 1 species